rnacentral:sRNA from 1 species
CGCGCCAUGGAGCAUGUGACAGAGGGCUCCUGGGAAUCGCUGCCUGUGCCGCUGCACCCGCAGGUGCUGGGCGCGCUGCGGGAGCUGGGCUUCCCGUACAUGACGCCGGUGCAGUCCGCAACCAUCCCUCUGUUCAUGCGAAACAAAGAUGUCGCUGCAGAAGCGGUCACAGGUAGUGGCAAAACACUCGCUUUUGUCAUCCCCAUCCUGGAAAUUCUUCUGAGAAGAGAAGAGAAGUUAAAAAAGAGUCAGGUUGGAGCCAUAAUCAUCACCCCCACUCGAGAGCUGGCCAUUCAAAUAGACGAGGUCCUGUCGCAUUUCACGAAGCACUUCCCCGAGUUCAGGUGAAUUGGAUGCAGUGUCCCUGUUAGCCAUGGGCUGUUUUGUCGAACUUAAUCAAAGGCUGUUUUCUUGUUGUAGCCAGAUUCUUUGGAUCGGAGGCAGGAAUCCUGGAGAAGAUGUUGAGAAGUUUAAGCAACAAGGUGGGAACAUCAUUGUGGCCACUCCAGGCCGCUUGGAGGACAUGUUCCGGAGGAAGGCCGAAGGCUUGGAUCUGGCCAGCUGUGUGCGAUCCCUGGAUGUCCUGGUGUUGGAUGAGGCAGACAGACUUCUGGACAUGGGGUUUGAGGCAAGCAUCAACACCAUUCUGGAGUUUUUGCCAAAGCAGAGGAGAACAGGCCUUUUCUCUGCCACUCAGACGCAGGAAGUGGAGAACCUGGUGAGAGCGGGCCUCCGGAACCCUGUCCGGGUCUCAGUGAAGGAGAA